rnacentral:rRNA from 1 species
UUGAACGCUGGUGGCAUGCUUAACACAUGCAAGUCGAACGGAGUCAUUUUUAGCUUGCUAAAGAUGAUCGAGUGGCGGACGGGUGAGUAAUGCAUAGGAAUCUACCCUUUAGCGGGGGACAACUUAGGGAAACUUAAGCUAAUACCGCAUAAUAUCCACGGAUCAAAGCUGGCGAAAGCUGGUGCUAAAGGAUGAGCCUAUGUCGGAUUAGCUAGUUGGUGGGGUAAAGGCCUACCAAGGCGACGAUCCGUAGCUGUUCUGAGAGGAAGAUCAGCCACACUGGGACUGAGACACGGCCCAGACUCCUACGGGAGGCAGCAGUGGGGAAUAUUGGACAAUGGGGGCAACCCUGAUCCAGCAAUGCCACGUGUGUGAAGAAGGCCUGAGGGUUGUAAAGCACUUUUGUUGGGGAAGAAGUUAAUGAGGUUAAGAGCUAGAUUAAUUGACAUUACCCAAAGAAAAAGCACCGGCUAACUCUGU